AACACUGUCACAUUCACAACCCAGGAGUUGUUGUUGUUGCCUCUUAGGAACAAGUCGGGUUCUGAUAUCUGGAGAAAAGCCUGGAACCAGAAGUGCCAGCUGUGAAACAGAGCAUGAUCGGUUUGCCGUGGGCAGCACAGAGCUCCCUCUGACCAAGAGGAACCAGACUGCUGAGUGG